rnacentral:rRNA from 1 species
UAGAUAGGGGUCCUGAGAGGGAGAUCCCCCACACUGGUACUGAGACACGGACCAGACUCCUACGGGAGGCAGCAGUGAGGAAUAUUGGACAAUGGGCGGGAGCCUGAUCCAGCCAUGCCGCGUGCAGGAAGACGGCCCUAUGGGUUGUAAACUGCUUUUACAGAGGAAGAAACACCCCGACGUGUCGGGACUUGACGGUACUCUGCGAAUAAGGAUCGGCUAACUCCGUGCCAGCAGCCGCGGUAAUACGGAGGAUCCAAGCGUUAUCCGGAAUCAUUGGGUUUAAAGGGUCCGUAGGCGGGACAAUCAGUCAGCGGUGAAAGUCUGUGGCUCAACCAUAGAAUUGCCAUUGAUACUGUUGUUCUUGAAUACUUAUGAAGUGGUUGGAAUAUGUAGUGUAGCGGUGAAAUGCAUAGA